rnacentral:rRNA from 1 species
UGAGUAACCUAUCCUCGGCACCGGGAUAGCCCGGGGAAACCCGGAUUAAUACCGGAUGGCCUUUCGAGUCCUCGGACUCGUCAGAAAAGGUAGCUUCGGCCUCCGGCCGAGGAGGGACUCGCGGCGGAUUAGCUUGUUGGUGGGGUAACGGCUCACCAAGGCGACGAUCCGUAGCUGGUCUGAGAGGACGAUCAGCCACACUGGGACUGAGACACGGCCCAGACUCCUACGGGAGGCAG